CACACCUGUGUAUGUUUAACAGAUGUAAGCCAUGUAUAUAUUGAAACAAUGCUUAUAAUAGACUCAGAGUGGCCAUCAGCCCUCUCUGCAUCUAUCCUGAUGUGUACAUUGGAUUGCGACACCAACAGGUAUGAAAGGUUUGAGCAAAAUAAUUGAAGCCAGUUGCCAUGCAAGAAGUGAUACUACCCUGGGACCACAAUGUUGUAAGAAGCCCAAGCUCCUGGGGAGACUUUGGAGAAUGAGAUGCUAUAUGAACAGAAAUAGAGAUGCUAAGGAAUACCAAGCUGCCACAAAUAAAUGAAGAAGUAAUCUUGGAAGGGGUUUUCCAGUUCCAGUUUGGCAACUUGGACGGGAUAAAAUUUCACUGGCUGGACACUGCUUGCUCCUGGACUGCUGCAGCUGAGAGAUCCUGGACCCCUGACAAGAGCCGGCAAGAGGUAAGACUUCUUACCACGUCAGUCACCCGGAUCUCUGCUGGCAGGGUCCAAUGGAAGCAAGAGUGGCUGGAUUGGUAUCCCUCCCUAUGGAUCCUGACCACUCUGAAUUGUGGGAAAGUCCCAAUUAGGACUCCGGUUCAAGGCCUAACUUUGGGAGCACACCUGCAUCACCACCUUCUAAAAUGGGUUUAACUGGACUGAUCUAUUACCAGGACUAAGAAAUGUGCUCAGCGACAUGAAACAAUCUACCACUCAGCUUCUGGACUAUAAAACUUCUUAAAGUUACAACGGACUGUGAAACUUUUAGUUUCAAAGGUGGGACUGUGGGGGACUGGUCUUCGCCACACCAAGAUAUGUCUCUUUGACAUGAGGGCUAUUUGAGGCUGAUUGCUUUUGAUAAACUGGGACAGGGAAGGAGGCUCUGAGGGGUGGAACUUGCUUGCCCUUUGUUAGGAGACAUUUACAUUGUAAAGGAAAUCUCCAUCUGUAAAGGUGCCUCCCUCUCCGUACCAGGAAGAAGAAAGGGGAUGAUCUUCUCUCUAGAAACUCUUAAUCAAUGCCAAAGGCAAGGACUUAAAUCUGCAUAAUAAUCUUAUUCCUGUUUCUGGUAACCUCCUGUAACUGACUGCCCCCACCCCCAACAUCCUCCUUUGUCGUUAGCUGAGAUGAUACUUAAGAUGGGGGCUUCAGCCAUUUUGAUGAGUCGCUCAGCUUGCCUGACCUCUCCCAUGUAUACAUGUUAUAAAGCUUUGUUUAAUUUUCUUCUGCAAUUCUGUCUCAUGUGAAUUUAAUUUGUUCUCUGGCCAGACGAACCCAGAAAAGGUAGAGGAAAUGUCUUCCUCCUCUACACAGACAUCAGGAAGCUCAGAGACUAAUCACCCAGCUAAGUCCUUUCCAAAUUCCUUGCCAAGAAAAUCAUGAGAUAUAAUAAAAUGGUUGUUUAAAACCACUAAAUUUUGGGGUGGCUUGUUAUAUAGCAAUAGAUAGCCAGAGUAAUAUUAUAGUUCUUUGUCCUAUAUAAUGCUUUUGUCCUUUAACUCCAUUUUUUCCCCAAUAAUAACAUUACCUCUCCUUUAAUAUGGAUUUACUCAGGGUAUUUUUGUCUAACCAUCUUUAUUUUUAAAUUGUCCUUUUCACCAUUUUUUUAGAUAUGUUUCUUAUAAGCAGCAUAUUUUGUCUCUUUAAUAUUACAGAUUCUCAUUGCUUGGAGAAUUCAGUUUGUCUCAUUUAUUUUGGUAACUGAGACUUUGUUAAUUCUUUUAUCUUACUUAAUAUUGAUUACAUAUUUUUUUUGACAUUUCCUCUUUCCCCACUUCCUAACUUUCUCUGGCUUACUCAUUUUUCCCCUUUUCCUUAAUUUUUCUGUUUUUGUCAGAUUUCAUUAAUUUCCAAUUACACAUUGUUAUUUUGAAAAUUAUGCAAGCCUUAUCAGUUUUAAGAAUGGUUUCAUUCUCAUCUCUCACAACCUUAAAUUUCUCUAUUACUACUAAUUGAUAUUAAAUAACUACAUAUUCUUACCAAGAUGCUUUACUUGCCUACAACUCUCUGCCUACCCCUGGGCUAAAUUGAGACCUUUGCUCACUUCAACUUCCUUACUAGCCAAGAUUCAUGUUCCUCUGCACCCUGACACAAACUCCAGUCAGCCUCCUCCAUAACCACCAAUAACAAGAACAACAAAAAUAAUUACUACUACAGUGUUUGCAAAGAUGUUUAGACAUUUGAAUUCCAGGUAAUCAUUAUGAUUUUCCCCUAUCAUGGUCAUGUUUCAAUAAUCUUUAAUUAACAUAAAUAUUUCUUAACAAUGCAGUGUCGUUACCCACUUAACAUUAAUUGUAUAUGUCUAUAUAUAUACACACACACACAUAUGUAUAUAUAUGUAUGUACACACAUACAUUACAAAAUUAAUUGCCAACUACUCUUUUCUUAUACAUUUCAUCAUAGUCUCACUUGAGAACACUGUUAAAAUUCUAUUUUCAUUUGUUUAGGGCACUUUCUUAAAUAUUUUCCUCAAAUCAAUAUAUAAAUGGAUCUCUAUCUCAUGCUGUGUAUGUACACAUUUUUUUCAUUUUCCUCAUCAGAUGAAUAAUAUUUUAGCUUAUUUUAGGAUCCAUUGCUUCUUUUCUCUUAAUCAUUUAAAUGUAUUUUUUCACUGGCUUCUGGCUUUCUUUGUAUAUUAGUUAGGAAACAGAUUAUGUUGCUAUAACAAAGAGAACAGAAAGAAAGUGAUAUAAAUAAAAUGUAAGUUUAUUUCUCUUUGUAUAAAAGUCAAAGUAGGUGAUCUAAUGUAAGUGUGGCAAUUAAACAGUGUAAGGGACCCAUACUUCUUGUAAUUUUAUUGCUUUGCCAUUCUCAAAACAUGACUUACAUCUCAUGGUACAAGUUUGAGCCAUCAGUGUCUACUAUUAAGUUUAAAGUCCAGUCCAAAGGAAGGCAGAAUAGAA
ensembl:lncRNA